UACGUAGGGUGCGAGCGUUGUCCGGAAUUACUGGGCGUAAAGGGCUCGUAGGUGGCCAACUAAGUCAUACGUGAAAUCCCUCGGCUUAACCGGGGAACUGCGUCUGAUACUGGAUGGCUUGAGUUUGGGAGAGGGACGCGGAAUUCCAGGUGUAGCGGUGAAAUGCGUAGAUAUCUGGAGGAACACCGGUGGCGAAGGCGGCGUCCUGGACCAACACUGACACUGAGGAGCGAAAGCCAGGGGAGCAAACGGG
rnacentral:rRNA from 1 species